rnacentral:piRNA from 1 species
UGCUUUGCGGUUGCCUAAAAGCCAUGGUCUU